rnacentral:rRNA from 1 species
AUUGAACGCUGGCGGCAGGCCUAACACAUGCAAGUCGAACGGUAACAGGAAGCAGCUUGCUGCUUCGCUGACGAGUGGCGGACGGGUGAGUCAUGUCUGGGAAGCUGCCUGAUGGAGGGGGAUAACUACUGGAAACGGUAGCUAAUACCGCAUAAUGUCGCAAGACCAAAGAGGGGGACCUUCGGGCCUCUUGCCAUCGGAUGUGCCCAGAUGGGAUUAGCUUGUUGGUGGGGUAACGGCUCACCAAGGCGACGAUCCCUAGCUGGUCUGAGAGGAUGACCGGCCACACUGGAACUGAGACACGGUCCAGACUCCUACGGGAGGCAGCAGUGGGGAAUAUUGCACAAUGGGCGCAAGCCUGAUGCAGCCAUGCCGCGUGUAUGAAGAAGGCCUUCGGGUUGUAAAGUACUUUCAGCGGGGAGGAAGGGAGUAAAGUUAAUACCUUUGCUCAUUGACGUUACCCGCAGAAGAAGCACCGGCUAACUCCGUG